GACGAACGCUGGCGGCGUGCUUAACACAUGCAAGUCGAACGAAGUGGCGAACGGGUGAGUAACGCGUAAUCAACCUGCCCUUCAGAGGGGGAUAACACUUGGAAACGACUGCUAAUACCGCAUACUGAAGUAGGGGUUUGCGUCGGAUUAGCUAGGUGGAGGGGUAACGGCCCACCAAGGCGAUGAUCAGUAGCCGGUCGGGGAGGGUGAACGGCCACAUUUGGACUGGGAAACGGCCCAGAAGCCUAAGGGAGGGAGCAGGGGGGAAUCUUCCGCAAUGGAGGAAAGUCUGGAUGAGCAACGCCGGGUGAGUGAUGACGGCCUUCGGGUUGUAAAGCUCUGUUAAGCGGGACGCGGUACCGGAAGAGAAAGCAACGGCUAACUACGUGCCAGCAGCCGCGGUAAUUC
rnacentral:rRNA from 1 species